UACGGAGGGGGCAAGCGUUAUUCGGAAUUAUUGGGCGUAAAGGGCGCGUAGGCGGCUAGAUGUGUCAAAGGUGAAAUCCCUCGGCUCAACUGAGGAACUGCCUUUGAAACUGUCUGGCUUGAGGCCGGGAGAGGGUAGCGGAAUUCCCAGUGUAGCGGUGAAAUGCGUAGAGAUCGGCAGGAACACCCAGGGGGAAACCAGCCGACUGGGGAUGCGCUGACGCUGAGGUGCGAGAGCGUGGGGAGCGAACCGG
rnacentral:rRNA from 1 species